AGUAAUAUGUUGACGGUGCGAUCGUUAGAGUGAGCGCAAACUCUCCAAUUGUUUUAAUUUAGAUCGGGCUCGUCAAACUGCACGUGACAUUUGGUGCGUCUAGACUCUGACGUUGUAUGUGAGUUACAAAUACCAAGAAAAAACUGAACAGUACUGAAAGUUAAUGAAAAAAAAAGUAACGUUUACAAUUUAUCUUCAAUAUGUAUCCAUUUAAUCAAGGCGAGUAAACUUUUUGUUGAACAUCUGCCUAUAUUCUCGUGAGAACGCAACUUUGCUAAGUGAUGCAUUGUGGGUCAAAAUUACUGCAGCAAAAAAUUCUAAAGAAUACAUGUGCAGUCAUUAGAGCUCGCAGUUACGAGCAUUGCUUUGCGACACUUGCUGCGCUCGCUAUUACGGGGGGGGGGGGGGGGGGGGGGGGGCUGAGCUGACCAGUUCAUUUGGAUUUGAAACAUAAGCAUAGUACAUGUACACAUUCGCCCUUGAUGCCGUUUGCUCUUAUUGUGGUUCGCCUUGAGUCUGCUCACUCUAAAAACAAAAUUUUUAACACUUGCUCCAUUUGCGCAUAUGUUAGUUGGAUAAUACUCAUAAUUUCCUUUGAUUUUUUUGAAUUUUGGUUUAAAUUAUAAUUUAUUUUCAGAAUUAAAAAAAGAUAUUUUUGUAAUCGAUGUGAUAAACAUUAAUUUGAAUUUUUAUAUAACCAUUCAGUAAGGUACAUUUAAUAUUAAAUGAGAAAUAAAAGAUUCUAAAAACUAUAUUUAUUGUCAACAUGGUCAAUGGUUUCAUGGUUAACGUCACUCUCAAUUUCCUGAAUUAUUUUCAAAACAUACAUGCUAAUAUGAACCCUUAAAAACUAACAAAGAAGAUGUUCUCUUACAGUAAUGACAAAAUUAACAGCACUUUAACCAAAUGAGUCUUUAAAUAAUAUUAAAAUCGGAAAUAAAGUCAAUAAGUAUAGAUGGAAAAAAAGUAGAUUAUCUUUUAAAAAACAAAAAUGACUAAAAAUCUAGGGAUAAUUAAUGAUAUGAAGAAAUAUUUACAAUAGAGCGAUCAGGAUCUAUGGCGAACAGGACAUAAGGACGAAUAAGAACAAACCCUGCACAAACAGACUCGCCCGAACAGGUAGAUGAUGCAAACGGACCUGAUACCUACUUCUGUAAAAUGCAAUUGUUGUAAAUUCUGGCCAGAUUAAAGGUGUUUGAGGGUAAUUUCUCAAGUAUUUGAUGAUGCAGUCCAUUAAGACAUUAUUGUGUUCACUUCUAUAUUAAAAAAAAGUGAAUAAUAAUAAUAUGAUUUUAUAGACAUUUUAAAAGGAACAUAUUUUCUUUUUUUAUUUAGUGUCUUGAAAAUUCCAGGCAUAUGCAAGCAAUGUAAUGCCAAGUGACUGAAACAGAAAAGUUGUAUCUCAAGUCUUGAACUAGAAGAUGACAAAACAUUUCAAUGAAAUCUCUGGAAAUGACAUCAUCAAAUAAACAAAGACUCGGGUUCAGAGGACCAGUUCAACACUUUGGAUAAAAUUUAUCAGGCAGUGACUUUCUUCUUCGACUACAAUGCAUUUAUAAGCACUAAAGA